GAUCCUGGCUCAGGAUGAACGCUAGCUACAGGCUUAACACAUGCAAGUCGAGGGGCAGCGGGAUUGAAGCUUGUCUUCAAUUGCCGGCGACCGGCGCACGGGUGAGUAACGCGUAUCCAACCUUCCGUACACUCCAGGGAUAGCCUUUCGAAAGAAAGAUUAAUACCUGAUGGUAUGAUGAGAUUGCAUGAUAGCAUCAUUAAAGAUUUAUCGGUAUACGAUGGGGGAUGCG
rnacentral:rRNA from 1 species